CGUCGGAGGCGGUGUGGUGGCUCGGCGAGGUCAGGAGCGGCGAGCUUCGGGUGCCGUCGGGUCGCGAGUCGCCAAGGCGCGGCGUCGGUCGUCGCGGGUAGAGGUCACCGGCAAAGUGGGUUUCGGCAGCUGUUACGGGCAAACAACGGUGAGACGGAGGCGCCGGAGUGGAGGGCUUUGGCUCAGUUGCAGCAAUCGCCGGAGGAACAAGGCACUACUGGCGUCUCUGGUGGCUCAGAGCAGCACGAGCAUGCGGACGAGGCAAGGGCGCAGCUUCACCAGGCGUCGGGUCAGGGGUAAACCUGCAGAAACAGAAGCUUCGUCGCGGCUGGGAGGUGAAUCGGCGGGCAGGGGAGGACGUCGGGCGCUGCAGGCUGGCGUCACGGGAGGAGACUGAACAGUUGCUGCAGCAGUGGUCGUUGCAGCAGGCGUCGGGACGAGCUCGCUGGUGCAGAGGUGCGGUGGAGCGCCGGCUUCUGUGUAGAAAUGGUCGCUGGCAGAAGACCCUUCGGAGAAGAUGAACAACUGUUCCUCCUU
rnacentral:lncRNA from 1 species